rnacentral:rRNA from 1 species
GUGCCAGCCGCCGCGGUAAGACGUAGGAGGCGAGCGUUAUCCGGAUUCACUGGGCGUAAAGCGCAUGUAGGCGGAUGAUCAAGUCGCGUGUUAAAGCCCCUGGCUCAACUGGGGGAGGUCAUGCGAGACUGGUUGACUUGAGGGCAACAGAGGCACAUGGAACUCCCGGUGUAGCGGUGGAAUGCGUAGAGAUCGGGAAGAACACCCGUGGCGAAGGCGGUGUGCUGGGUUGCACCUGACGCUGAGAUGCGAAAGUGUGGGGAGCAAACGGGAUUAGAUACCCUUGUAGUCC